rnacentral:piRNA from 1 species
UCAGAGGUGUAUGUGUGUACACGCACAUGA